CCUACGGGAGGCAGCAGUGAGGAAUAUUGGUCAAUGGACGAGAGUCUGAACCAGCCAAGUAGCGUGAAGGAUGACUGCCCUAUGGGUUGUAAACUUCUUUUAUAUGGGAAUAAAAUGUUCCACGUGUGGGAUUUUGUAUGUACCAUAUGAAUAAGGAUCGGCUAACUCCGUGCCAGCAGCCGCGGUAAUACGGAGGAUCCGAGCGUUAUCCGGAUUUAUUGGGUUUAAAGGGAGCGUAGGUGGAUUGUUAAGUCUUUUGUGAAAGUUUGCGGCUCAACCGGAAAAUUGCAGUUGAAACUGGCAGGCUUGAGUACAGGAGAGGUGGGCGGAAUUCGUGGUGUAGCGGUGAAAUGCUUAGAUAUCACGAAGAACCCCGAUUGCGAAGGCAGUUUACUGCACUGCAACUGACACUGAUGCUCGAAAGUGCGGGUAUCAAACAGGAUUAGAUACCCGAGUAGUC
rnacentral:rRNA from 1 species